AAUUGAACACUGCUCUACUCACUUCCCUUAGGAAGCAUCCUACCUUCCUUCUACCUCCAGAUCUACAGAUGAAGGAGUGUUUACUGCUGACUGUGCCUUUAUCUAGUCCUGGGGUGGUGGCAGGAUGAACGCAGAGAAAAACAGACAGUGGAUUCAGUCUUGAUCAAAUCAUAUGUUUACAAUGCACUCAUAGCAUGGUUCAUGUCUUUGGUGUGUCUGUUAGUUUGCACAUAAAUACGGUAAUCUUUGGCAGUGGAAAAUAUUUGACAUUUUAUACUACAUUUCAUCUUUUUGUUAACUGCUCUGUGAUAGACUGAUCCCAAAACCUGUGGGAGAAAAGGCAACAAGCUUGAUGCCCCUUUCUGGGUGGCUGGGCUGCAGCAGUUUUAUAAGGAAGAUGGCUUGGCCUUGUACAUCUGUGCCAUGCCUCUUGAGGAUGGUUAAACUGGCUGUAGAAAUUCCAGGAUGAGGAAGGUGGAUAGCGAUGAGAGCAUGUUUUACAGACGAGUUUGCAAGUUCUUUGCACAGACGCCAUUGAGCCAUUGUGGUAUCCGCUUCCUCUAUCCACCCCAAGAGCUGCUGACAAACUUUGCAGUCAGCAAGUCAGUUAUGCAUGAAGGGGAGCAUUCUCAUCAGCCAGUGCUUAUCAUGGCUUUCCGGGGUCCUCACGCUAACUCAGUGUGUCAGGAGAGCACAGGGCCAUCAGACCCCCAGCUGGCAAGGCGGACAGAUCCAACAUCCAUCAACGCCCUGUACCGUCACAGUCAAGACCAACCCCUGCUCUACUCACCCCAUCUUGCCAGUCUUGUGCAUCUGGGCCUCUGCUUGUGAUUUGGUUGUAGAAUAGCAAAAAACAGCCUGUCAACAUUAGUAUUCAAAUGUAUUGUAAUACUUCCCAAAUUGGGUCAUCAUUGUUUACUCACACUUGUUGUACUUGUACGAUUGUCUUCAAAUACGAAAUACAAAGAAGUGUUCAGCUGCUUUUGUUCACAUUAUGAAAGUCAAUGAGAGCCAA